rnacentral:rRNA from 1 species
UGCAGUCGUACAAGGUAACCGUAGCUGUGAACCUCUGAGGUGACGAGUGGCGGACGGGUGAGUAAUGUCUGGGAAACUGCCUGAUGGAGGGGGAUAACUACUGGAAACGGUAGCUAAUACCGCAUAACGUCGCAAGACCAAAGAGGGGGACCUUCGGGCCUCUUGCCAUCAGAUGUGCCCAGAUGGGAUUAGCUAGUAGGUGGGGUAACGGCUCACCUAGGCGACGAUCCCUAGCUGGUCUGAGAGGAUGACCAGCCACACUGGAACUGAGACACGGUCCAGACUCCUACGGGAGGCAGCAGUGGGGAAUAUUGCACAAUGGGCGCAAGCCUGAUGCAGCCAUGCCGCGUGUAUGAAGAAGGCCUUCGGGUUGUAAAGUACUUUCAGCGGGGAGGAAGGUGUUGUGGUUAAUAACCACAGCAAUUGACGUUACCCGCAGAAGAAGCACCGGCUAACUCCGUGCCAGCAGCCGCGGUAAUACGGAGGGUGCAAGCGUUAAUCGGAAUUACUGGGCGUAAAGCGCACGCAGGCGGUCUGUCAAGUCGGAUGUGAAAUCCCCGGGCUCAACCUGGGAACUGCAUUCGAAACUG